UAAGCAAGCGGCCUUGUCUCUCCUCUGCAUUCUUCCUCUGAGAAGGAUUUGCAAGGCAGCCGAAGCUGAAGACUGCCUCCACACAGCCGAGACUUUCCCAGGAUUUCAAUAGAGAAGUUGACCUCUAGCAUGAAAUUCCUUGGGUGAAGAAAAAAAAACAUGGAUCUUAAUUUAUGGAGGCUCUUGGUGACAUCCUAUGUGGUCCAGAAGAUGCCUGGGCUGCAGCAAGCACUUCACAGCUCUUCAGGAUGAACAGAUGACAUCCAAAAGAUCAAAGACACGGGAGAGGAUAACAUCACUACUAAAGGAAGCAGUGUGACAGAAAAGUUUUGAGAAUGCCUGGGAGGGUGACGGGAAGACAGUAGAAGAAUCAAAAGAGAAGUGGAUGAGGUACCUGAAGGACACAGACCUAGAACCUCCGGUGAGUCAGUGAAGCCACACUGCCACCAAGUCCUGUGGUGGUAUCAUGUUCUCCAAAAUAUUGUGUACUCUAAUAAAUUUAUCUGGGGUCAGAGACAGAACAGCCACUAGAUACAAAGGCUAG